rnacentral:rRNA from 1 species
GUCUUUUUGUUUAAAAUAUAAAGUCUUGCCUGCCCCCUGAAAUUUUAAAUGGCCGCGGUAUUUUGACCGUGCUAAGGUAGCAUAAUCAUUAGUUUUUUUAUUGAAAGCUGGAAUGAAGGGUCGGAUGAAAAAAAAACUGUCUUUAUUUAAUUUUUAAAGAAUUUUAUUUUUAAGUUAAAAAGCUUAAAUAUUUUUAAAAGACGAGAAGACCCUAUAGAGUUUAAUAAAUUAAUAAAUAUAUUUUUUUAGAAUUUAAUUUAUUUAUAUAAUUUUAAUUUAUUUAAUUGGGGUGAUUGAAAAAUAAAUAAAACUUUUUUUAUAUUUUUAUAUUGAUUAAUAAUUUAUUGAUCCAAUAUUUUUGAUUAUAAGAUUAAAUUACCUUAGGGAUAACAGCGUAAUUUUAUUGGAGAGUUCAAAUUGAUAAUAAAGAUUGCGACCUCGAUGUUGGAUUAAAAUUUAUAAUUGGUGCAGAAGCUAUAUUAUUAAGUCUGUUCGACU